rnacentral:lncRNA from 1 species
GUAGUCACCGAUUCCUCCGAAUUCAUCGACGGAGUUCCCGGCCGCCGGAGUUCAGGUUUCCUCGGUGAGUUUUUCGGAGAAAAGCUCGGCGUUAAGCGAAGAUCCAGAUCAUUUGACGGUAAGUAUAACGGUUUCGGUAGCUGCUGCUUGUUUAUGGUUAAAGUUUCGUUGUUGUUGAUUCUUUUCCGUUUCGGUGAGCUUUUGGAUCUUGAAUUAGAGAAACGAGAAUGAGGAUUUGGAUCCUGAAGUUUCCACAUGUCCGUACAGGUUACUUCAGCUUCGGAAGUUUCAUCCGAAGCCGGAGAUGGAGAAGAUCCGGCGAGUAGCUCAGGCAUCGGCCGUAGUGUGCCGCCGCGUAAGACGGUUUCUACGGCAGCUUGACAAACAUGCC